rnacentral:rRNA from 1 species
CCUAACGGGAGGCAGCAGUGGGGAAUAUUGGACAAUGGGGGGAACCCUGAUCCAGCCAUGCCGCGUGGGUGAAGAAGGCCCUCGGGUUGUAAAGCACUUUCAGUGAGGAAGAACGCCUGGUGGUUAAUACCCAUCAGGAAAGACAUCACUCACAGAAGAAGCACCGGCUAACUCCGUGCCAGCAGCCGCGGUAAUACGGAGGGUGCGAGCGUUAAUCGGAAUUACUGGGCGUAAAGCGCGCGUAGGUGGCUUGAUAAGCCGGUUGUGAAAGCCCCGGGCUCAACCUGGGAACGGCAUCCGGAACUGUCAAGCUAGAGUGCAGGAGAGGAAGGUAGAAUUCCCGGUGUAGCGGGGAAAUGCGUAGGGAUCGGGAGGAAUACCAGUGGCGAAGGCGGCCUUCUGGACUGACACUGACACUGAGGUGCGAAAGCGUGGGUAGCAAACAGGAUUAGAUACCCCUGUAGUC